AAUGCUCAUCUAGUAAUGAAAGCUGCCUGUGUUGCUGCUGUGAGUGCAGGCCUUUGUGGGUGUGAGAUCACAGUUUGUGUGUGUGUGUGUGUGUGGGGGGGGUACUCUGAGAAUUAUCUAGAAAAACAAUACAAGUGAUUUCAGUUGUGUGCAUUUUCAUGAUUCAAGCAAAAAGAUUGAUGUCUCCGAAAGAAAAUGAAGGCUGGAGAUUUCGAAGUCUCUGGAACUUCAGUUCCAUCAUCCUUUCUGUGUCUCCCAAUGAAGACAGAAGAGACAGAAUCCUGAAGAUAAACCUCAACAACCACCUGGUUUGAAGGAAAACAAUGUUUUUUGGACAACAUCUAAAAAAGAUAACACUACGUUUUGGGUGAAAAAGCCAUAGUAAGAUUGUUGAAAACCAGUAAUCUAAAAAGUGUCUUCGGGUGUAUUCAGACUGGAAAAAUCCUUUGUUCUGGAUCGAGUCCCAAACGUUAUGUUUGGUCUGUAUUCAGACAGGCACCAAGUGGCCCAUUCUGUUACGGACCAAAGCUUGUAAACAAAACCACGUGACGUCAUCAUGACUUCUUCAGUCAUUGGCCAGGAACUACAAAAGUAGGUCAAAACAACAAGAGAAAGACAGACGAUCCUUAUCAAGACAGUUAAUAAAACUUUAUAUUUCCAUUACCAGUUUAGAACGUCGGGAAGAACACUAUUGACUUGUCACUGUCAUGGUGCCUCUGUCAGACUCCUCCCCCUCCAGCUUGGCUCCACUCUGCUCCUGAUUAUUCUCCAGCUGCCGUCACUCAACUCAUCAACCUCUGCUGCUUAAAAGGAGACCCAAUGCCAAUAAUCAGCGCCAGAUCGUUGCCCAUUUUGGAAACCGGUCCAAGAGUGACGUCAGCACAGUCUCCAGCCUGCUGUCGGGAAGGAUCAGUGAACUGCCGCGUCCGCACCUCCAGCCGUGCCACAGACUAUCCAUCUGGAUCACCUCUCGCCAACCCUCUUUGCCAGCCUCAAAGAAAAUAAUAAAUCCUUAUUACCUGCCA